UAGGGAAUCUUCCGCAAUGGACGCAAGUCUGACGGAGCAACGCCGCGUGAGUGAAGAAGGAUUUCGGUUCGUAAAACUCUGUUGUUAGAGAAGAACAGCGCAUAGAGUAACUGUUAUGCGUGUGACGGUAUCUAACCAGAAAGCCACGGCUAACUACGUGCCAGCAGCCGCGGUAAUACGUAGGUGGCAAGCGUUGUCCGGAUUUAUUGGGCGUAAAGCGAGCGCAGGCGGUCAAUUAAGUCUGAUGUGAAAGCCCACGGCUCAACCGUGGAGGGUCAUUGGAAACUGGAAAACUUGAGUGCAGAAGAGGAAAGUGGAAUUCCAUGUGUAGCGGUGAAAUGCGCAGAGAUAUGGAGGAACACCAGUUGCGAAGGCGACUUUCUGGUCUGUAACUGACGCUGAUGUGCGAAAGCGUGGGGAUCAAACAGG
rnacentral:rRNA from 1 species